UUUCUAGUAUAUAAAAGGUCCGUUUUGGUCCCUUAACUUUAUUUAAAGUAACGGUUUGGUCCUUUAAAUUAAUUCAAAAAAAAUGUUAAAUUUUGGUCCGUUAACUUAUUUAAUUAGUAUUAGUUUGAUCCCUAAACCUAACUUUUUUUGAAUUAAAUUAACAGAAAGGACCAAACUGAUACUUUAAAUAAAGUUAAGGGACCCAAACGAACUUUUUAUUACAUAUGGGA
rfam:Medicago truncatula strain A17 chromosome 2, whole genome shotgun sequence.